AGUGAACGCUGGCGGUAGGCCUAACACAUGCAAGUCGAACGGCAGCACAGUAAGCGCUUGCUCUUACGGGUGGCGAGUGGCGGACGGGUGAGGAAUACAUCGGCAUCUACUUUUUCGUGGGGGAUAACGUAGGGAAACUUACGCUAAUACCGCAUACGACCUACGGGUGAAAGCAGGGGAUCUUCGGACCUUGCGCGAUUGAAUGAGCCGCUGUCGGAUUAGCUAGUUGGCGGGGUAAAGGCCCACCAAGGCGACGAUCCGUAGCUGGUCUGAGAGGAUGAUCAGCCACACUGGAACUGAGACACGGUCCAGACUCCUACGGGAGGCAGCAGUGGGGAAUAUUGGACAAUGGGCGCAAGCCUGAUCCAGCCAUACCGCGUGGGUGAAGAAGGCCUUCGGGUUGUAAAGCCCUGUUGUUGGGAAAGAAAAGCAGCAGGUUAAUACCCCGCUGUUCUGACGGUACCCAAAGAAUAAGCACCGGCUAACUUCGUG
rnacentral:rRNA from 1 species